ACCUACGGGGGGCAGCAGUGGGGAAUAUUGCGCAAUGGGGGCAACCCUGACGCAGCAACGCCGCGUGAUUGAAGAAGGCCUUCGGGUUGUAAAGAUCUUUAAUCGGGGACGAAUUUUGACGGUACCCGAAGAAUAAGCUCCGGCUAACUACGUGCCAGCAGCCGCGGUAAUACGUAGGGAGCAAGCGUUAUCCGGAUUUACUGGGUGUAAAGGGCGUGUAGGCGGGACGGCAAGUCAGAUGUGAAAACUGAGGGCUCAACCUUCAGACUGCAUUUGAAACUGCUGUUCUUGAGUGAAGUAGAGGU
rnacentral:rRNA from 1 species